AUCUAGCUGUGAAAACCUCUACUUAUCUAAACACAUGCGCGGGAUGUUCCAGUCUCGUCUACAGAAAUGAGCCUUUGAUAGCUGAGAGCGCUGAAACCAGAGAGACGGUCGAGCUGAGGGGUCUACAUGGAGAGAAAUGAGGAAAGCUGAGAAGGAACCAGAUGUUGAGCUGAGAGCAGACUGGACUCCAGAGUGGCUCUGAAG